CGUGGUGUUUAGUCGUAGUGC
rnacentral:miRNA from 1 species